UACGUAGGGUGCGAGCGUUAAUCGGAAUUACUGGGCGUAAAGCGUGCGCAGGCGGUUCGCCAAGUCAGGUGUGAAAUCCCCGGGCUUAACCUGGGAAUUGCGCUUGAAACUAGCGGGCUUGAGUGUGGGCAGAGGGGGGUGGGAAUUCCACGUUGUAGCAGUGAAAUGCGUAGAGAUGUGGAGGAACACCGAUGGCGAAGGCAGCCCCCUGGGUCAACACUGACGCUCAUGCCACGAAAGCGUGGGGAGCAAACAGG
rnacentral:rRNA from 1 species